AGUGGUACUCUUAGGGUCAAGUACAGUACAGAACCUGCUACCUGCUCUCUGGAGAUGAUACAUUGGGAGAGAGAAGAAGAAGGUCAGCCUCAAUGCUCAAAGAAUAAGCAAUUGUAAAUCUGUACAAAUUUUAAUGGAUGCAAACCAUAUUAGCAAUGGCUUUAGAGGGGUUUUCUGAAGGGCAAAAACAUUCCGCCCUCAUUCAUCACGAAGAUAACACAAUCCUGCUGUUACUAAGCUUUUACAAGCUGUAGUUGGAGAUGAAACGAACAAUUCAGGUAAAAUAAUAUCUUCCCUGUGUUCUUUUCAAACUUUCAGCUUCAGAAUGUUCCCUUUAUAUUUGUGGCUGGGUUCUUGCUGGUAAGGAAAAGCUCCUAACUGUUCUAACGGCAAUUUCAAACUGAUCAGAAAACAUGGGAAACCCAUUUGAGAAAGUGUCUUGAGAAGAUCUCUAUAUUUUAUUAAAAUUAAGUACAUCAGCCCUGCUGGCUCAAACCAAAGGCCCAUGUUGGUCUGACAAAGUCAAAAUAUAUAAAUAAAAUAAA